GUAAUCUGUAAUCCUUAUUUUGCUGCAAUACUAUGAUCGAUGCAUUUCAGCAUAGUUUUUUCGAUAAAUCAAAUUUAUUAAAUCAAUUUGAGAUAUCCAAAACUAAAAUAUCUUAUAACACAGAAGAAAAUUCCAUCACAACCAUCUCUAAAAUAAAAUCUAUAUGAUUUGCAAUAUAUAAUGCUACCUAAUCUACUACAC
rnacentral:lncRNA from 1 species